GCCCGCCUAGCUCAAUCGGAUAGAGCGUCAGACUCUUAGGCGGGUUUGUGAUCCCACUCCGAUGUGUUAUCUGAAGGCUGCGAGUUCGACCCUCGCGGUGGGCU